rnacentral:rRNA from 1 species
GACGAACGCUGGCGGCGCGCCUAACACAUGCAAGUCGAACGAGCGAGAGAGAGCUUGCUUUCUCGAGCGAGUGGCGAACGGGUGAGUAACGCGUGAGGAACCUGCCUCAAAGAGGGGGACAACAGUUGGAAACGACUGCUAAUACCGCAUAAGCCCACGGCUCGGCAUCGAGCAGAGGGAAAAGGAGCAAUCCGCUUUGAGAUGGCCUCGCGUCCGAUUAGCUAGUUGGUGAGGUAAUGGCCCACCAAGGCAACGAUCGGUAGCCGGACUGAGAGGUUGAACGGCCACAUUGGGACUGAGACACGGCCCAGACUCCUACGGGAGGCAGCAGUGGGGAAUAUUGCACAAUGGGGGAAACCCUGAUGCAGCGACGCCGCGUGGAGGAAGAAGGUCUUCGGAUUGUAAACUCCUGUUGUUGGGGAAGAUAAUGACGGUACCCAACAAGGAAGUGACGGCUAACUACGUGCCAGCAGCCGCGGUAAAACGUAGGUCACAAGCGUUGUCCGGAAUUACUGGGUGUAAAGGGAGCGCAGGCGGGAAGACAAGUUGGAAGUGAAAUCUAUGGGCUCAACCCAUAAACUGCUUUCAAAACUGUUUUUCUUGAGUAGUGCAGAGGUAGGCGGAAUUCCCGGUGUAGCGGUGGAAUGCGUAGAUAUCGGGAGGAACACCAGUGGCGAAGGCGGCCUACUGGGCACCAACUGACGCUGAGGCUCGAAAGUGUGGGUAGCAAACAGGAUUAGAUACCCUGGUAGUCCACACCGUAAACGAUGAUUACUAGGUGUUGGAGGAUUGACCCCUUCAGUGCCGCAGUUAACACAAUAAGUAAUCCACCUGGGGAGUACGACCGCAAGGUUGAAACUCAAAGGAAUUGACGGGGGCCCGCACAAGCAGUGGAGUAUGUGGUUUAAUUCGACGCAACGCGAAGAACCUUACCAAGUCUUGACAUCCCUUGACGAUGCUGGAAACAGUAUUUCUCUUCGGAGCAAGGAGACAGGUGGUGCAUGGUUGUCGUCAGCUCGUGUCGUGAGAUGUUGGGUUAAGUCCCGCAACGAGCGCAACCCUUAUGGUCAGUUACUACGCAAGAGGACUCUGGCCAGACUGCCGUUGACAAAACGGAGGAAGGUGGGGAUGACGUCAAAUCAUCAUGCCCUUUAUGACUUGGGCUACACACGUACUACAAUGGCGUUAAACAAAGAGAAGCAAGACCGCGAGGUGGAGCAAAACUCAGAAACAACGUCCCAGUUCGGACUGCAGGCUGCAACUCGCCUGCACGAAGUCGGAAUUGCUAGUAAUCGUGGAUCAGCAUGCCACGGUGAAUACGUUCCCGGGCCUU